UACGUAGGGUGCGAGCGUUGUCCGGAAUUACUGGGCGUAAAGAGCUCGUAGGCGGUCUGUCGCGUCUGCUGUGAAAACUCGGGGCUUAACCCCGGGCCUGCAGUGGGUACGGGCAGACUAGAGUGCGGUAGGGGAGACUGGAAUUCCUGGUGUAGCGGUGAAAUGCGCAGAUAUCAGGAGGAACACCGGUGGCGAAGGCGGGUCUCUGGGCCGUAACUGACGCUGAGGAGCGAAAGCGUGGGGAGCGAACAGG
rnacentral:rRNA from 1 species